rnacentral:sRNA from 1 species
AAACUAGAAGCACAUGGCCGAGGAGCCUGAACAGGCACCUCCUAUCUAGGCAGGGAAGCUGUGUAAUCAGGAGCUUGUGUGGUGCACUCCAGUCAGAGCUGGGACUCUUAUCCUGGGCCCGUUUUUCAUAGCACCAGCCAAGGGAGAGCGUCCUCUCCACCCUAGCGGCAGAGCUGCUACCAGGACCAGGUGGGCCAGCCCCAGAUGUGCUGCUUGUGCUACUUGGAGCCAGGCAAAUGGGUGUUCCUUUGGAACGGCCCUCAGGAACUCACUGGGGUAUUUGGUGGAAAGACUGCCACGGGCAUUUUGCAUGUUGGAGCUACAGAUGGUGUCCUUCCUGCCAGGUGUGUGUGGAGGCCAGUAUGAAGCUGAAAAAGCAGGUGACAGUGUGUGGGGCUGCCAUCUUCUGUGUGGCAGUCUUCUCGCUCUACCUCAUGCUGGACCGAGUGCAACACGAUCCCACCCGACACCAGAAUGGUGGGAACUUCCCCCGGAGCCAAAUUUCUGUGCUGCAGAACCGCAUUGAGCAGCUGGAGCAGCUUUUGGAGGAGAACCAUGAGAUUAUCAGCCAUAUCAAGGACUCCGUGCUGGAGCUGACAGCCAACGCAGAGGGCCCGCCCGCCAUGCUGCCCUACUACACGGUCAAUGGCUCCUGGGUGGUGCCACCGGAGCCCCGGCCAAGCUUCUUCUCCAUCUCCCCCCAGGACUGCCAGUUUGCUUUGGGGGGCCGGGGUCAGAAGCCAGAACUGCAGGUAAGAGUCAGAGCUGGCAGGGACGUACAGUGGCCGCGACUGGGGUACUGAGCUGCAGUUCACCUGGCAGAUGCUCACUGUGUCGGAGGAGCUGCCGUUUGACAACGUGGAUGGUGGUGUGUGGAGGCAAGGCUUCGACAUCUCCUACGACCCGCACGACUGGGAUGCUGAAGACCUGCAGGUGUUUGUGGUGCCCCACUCUCACAAUGACCCAGGCUGGAUCAAGACCUUUGACAAGUACUACACAGAGCAGACCCAACACAUCCUCAAUAGCAUGGUGUCUAAGCUGCAGGAGGACCCCCGGCGGCGCUUCCUCUGGGCAGAGGUCUCCUUCUUCGCCAAGUGGUGGGACAACAUCAAUGUCCAAAAGAGAGCGGCAGUCCGAAGGCUGGUGGGAAACGGGCAGCUGGAGAUUGCGACAGGAGGCUGGGUGAUGCCAGAUGAGGCCAAUUCCCACUACUUUGCAUUGAUUGACCAGCUCAUCGAAGGACACCAGUGGCUGGAGAGAAAUCUUGGUGCAACCCCCCGCUCUGGCUGGGCAGUGGACCCCUUUGGAUACAGCUCCACCAUGCCUUACCUGCUGCGCCGUGCCAACCUCACCAGCAUGCUGAUUCAGAGAGUGCACUAUGCCAUCAAGAAGCACUUUGCUGCCACCCACAGCCUAGAGUUCAUGUGGAGGCAGACAUGGGACUCGGACUCCAGCACAGACAUCUUCUGUCACAUGAUGCCCUUCUACAGCUAUGACGUCCCCCAUACCUGUGGCCCGGAUCCCAAGAUCUGCUGCCAAUUUGAUUUCAAACGCCUGCCUGGUGGGCGCAUCAACUGCCCUUGGAAGGUGCCACCCCGGGCCAUCACAGAGGCCAACGUGGCAGAGAGGGCAGCCCUGCUUCUGGACCAAUACCGGAAGAAGUCCCGGCUGUUCCGAAGCAACGUCCUCCUGGUGCCUCUUGGAGAUGACUUCCGAUAUGACAAGCCCCAGGAGUGGGAUGCCCAGUUCUUCAACUACCAGCGGCUCUUUGACUUCUUCAACAGCAGGCCUAACCUCCAUGUGCAGGCCCAGUUUGGCACUCUUUCUGACUAUUUUGAUGCCCUGUACAAGAGGACAGGGGUGGAGCCAGGGGCCCGGCCUCCAGGGUUUCCUGUGCUGAGCGGGGAUUUCUUCUCCUAUGCGGACCGGGAGGAUCAUUACUGGACAGGCUAUUACACUUCCCGGCCCUUCUACAAGAGCUUAGACCGAGUCCUGGAAGCCCACCUGCGGGGGGCAGAGGUUCUGUACAGCCUGGCUGCAGCUCACGCUCGCCGCUCUGGUCUGGCUGGCCGGUACCCACUGUCUGAUUUCACCCUCCUGACGGAAGCUCGGCGCACACUGGGGCUCUUCCAGCAUCACGAUGCCAUCACUGGCACGGCCAAGGAGGCUGUGGUGGUGGACUAUGGGGUCAGGCUUCUGCGCUCCCUUGUCAACCUGAAGCAGGUCAUCAUUCAUGCAGCCCACUAUCUGGUGCUGGGGGACAAGGAGACCUACCACUUUGACCCUGAGGCGCCCUUCCUCCAAGUGGAUGACACUCGCUUAAGUCACGACGCCCUCCCAGAGCGCACGGUGAUCCAGCUGGAUUCGUCGCCCAGGUAACCUGGACUACGCCAUGUGCAGAGAGGAAGAGCCAUUCCCUGGCUCUCAGGCCCCUCUGCCCCAGCAUGUGCUGAACCAGUGCAGGGCGCUUGCCCUGGCCGGAAGCAGCAGCCUCCUGGGUCAGCCCACCUUCUACGCACAGGUUUGUGGUCCUAUUCAA